rnacentral:rRNA from 1 species
UACGGAGGGGGCAAACGUUGUUCGGAUUUAUUGGGUGUAAAGGGUGUGUAGGCGGGCUUGUAAGUCGGAUGUGAAAUACUAUAGCUUAACUAUAGAACUGCAUUCGAAACUGCUUGUCUUGAGUUUGGGAGAGGAGAGUGGAAUUCUCGGUGUAAGGGUGAAAUCUGUAGAUAUCGAGAGGAACACCAGUGGCGAAAGCGACUCUCUGGACCAAAACUGACGCUGAAACACGAAAGCUAGGGGAG